UACGUAGGGUCCGAGCGUUGUCCGGAGUUAUUGGGCGUAAAGGGCUCGUAGGCGGUCUGUCGCGUCGGGAGUGAAAACUCAGGGCUCAACCCUGAGCGUGCUUCCGAUACGGGCAGACUAGAGGUAUGCAGGGGAGAACGGAAUUCCUGGUGUAGCGGUGGAAUGCGCAGAUAUCAGGAGGAACACCGGUGGCGAAGGCGGUUCUCUGGGCAUGACCUGACGCUGAGGAGCGAAAGCAUGGGGAGCGAACAGG
rnacentral:rRNA from 1 species